rnacentral:rRNA from 1 species
ACUUAAAUUGAAGAGUUUGAUCAUGGCUCAGAUUGAACGCUGGCGGCAGGCCUAACACAUGCAAGUCGAGCGGUAGCACAGAGAGCUUGCUCUCGGGUGACGAGCGGCGGACGGGUGAGUAAUGUCUGGGAAACUGCCUGAUGGAGGGGGAUAACUACUGGAAACGGUAGCUAAUACCGCAUAACGUCGCAAGACCAAAGUGGGGGACCUUCGGGCCUCAUGCCAUCAGAUGUGCCCAGAUGGGAUUAGCUAGUAGGUGGGGUAACGGCUCACCUAGGCGACGAUCCCUAGCUGGUCUGAGAGGAUGACCAGCCACACUGGAACUGAGACACGGUCCAGACUCCUACGGGAGGCAGCAGUGGGGAAUAUUGCACAAUGGGCGCAAGCCUGAUGCAGCCAUGCCGCGUGUGUGAAGAAGGCCUUCGGGUUGUAAAGCACUUUCAGCGGGGAGGAAGGCGUUAAGGUUAAUAACCUUGGCGAUUGACGUUACCCGCAGAAGAAGCACCGGCUAACUCCGUGCCAGCAGCCGCGGUAAUACGGAGGGUGCAAGCGUUAAUCGGAAUUACUGGGCGUAAAGCGCACGCAGGCGGUCUGUCAAGUCGGAUGUGAAAUCCCCGGGCUCAACCUGGGAACUGCAUUCGAAACUGGCAGGCUAGAGUCUUGUAGAGGGGGGUAGAAUUCCAGGUGUAGCGGUGAAAUGCGUAGAGAUCUGGAGGAAUACCGGUGGCGAAGGCGGCCCCCUGGACAAAGACUGACGCUCAGGUGCGAAAGCGUGGGGAGCAAACAGGAUUAGAUACCCUGGUAGUCCACGCCGUAAACGAUGUCGAUUUGGAGGUUGUGCCCUUGGGGCGUGGCUUCCGGAGCUAACGCGUUAAAUCGACCGCCUGGGGAGUACGGCCGCAAGGUUAAAACUCAAAUGAAUUGACGGGGGCCCGCACAAGCGGUGGAGCAUGUGGUUUAAUUCGAUGCAACGCGAAGAACCUUACCUGGUCUUGACAUCCACAGAACUUUCCAGAGAUGGAUUGGUGCCUUCGGGAACUGUGAGACAGGUGCUGCAUGGCUGUCGUCAGCUCGUGUUGUGAAAUGUUGGGUUAAGUCCCGCAACGAGCGCAACCCUUAUCCUUUGUUGCCAGCGGUUAGGCCGGGAACUCAAAGGAGACUGCCAGUGAUAAACUGGAGGAAGGUGGGGAUGACGUCAAGUCAUCAUGGCCCUUACGACCAGGGCUACACACGUGCUACAAUGGCAUAUACAAAGAGAAGCGACCUCGCGAGAGCAAGCGGACCUCAUAAAGUAUGUCGUAGUCCGGAUUGGAGUCUGCAACUCGACUCCAUGAAGUCGGAAUCGCUAGUAAUCGUAGAUCAGAAUGCUACGGUGAAUACGUUCCCGGGCCUUGUACACACCGCCCGUCACACCAUGGGAGUGGGUUGCAAAAGAAGUAGGUAGCUUAACCUUCGGGAGGGCGCUUACCACUUUGUGAUUCAUGACUGGGGUGAAGUCGUAACAAGGUAACCGUAGGGGAACCUGCGGUUGGAUCACCUCCUUACCUUAAAGAA